GACGGAGGAUGCAAGUGUUAUCCGGAAUCACUGGGCGUAAAGCGUCUGUAGGUGGUUCAAUAAGUCAACUGUUAAAUCUUGAGGCUCAACUUCAAAAUCGCAGUCGAAACUAUUGGACUCGAGUAUAGUAGGGGUAAAGGGAAUUUCCAGUGGAGCGGUGAAAUGCGUAGAGAUUGGAAAGAACACCAAUGGCGAAAGCACUUUACUGGGCUAUUACUAACACUCAGAGACGAAAGCUAGGGUAGCAAAUGGG
rnacentral:rRNA from 1 species